ACGAACGCUGGCGGCGUGCUUAACACAUGCAAGUCGAACGGACUAAGUUGAUAGCUUGCUAUUGAUGAGGUUAGUGGCAAACGGGUGAGUAACGCGUAGGCAACCUGCCCUUCAGAUGGGGACAACACCUCGAAAGGGGUGCUAAUACCGAAUGACGUUGCGCUGUCGCAUGACGGUGCAACCAAAAGGCCGGGCAACCGGUCACUGAAGGAUGGGCCUGCGUCUGAUUAGCUAGUUGGUGGGGUAACGGCCCACCAAGGCGACGAUCAGUAGCCGGUCUGAGAGGAUGAACGGCCACAUUGGGACUGAGACACGGCCCAAACUCCUACGGGAGGCAGCAGUGGGGAAUCUUCCGCAAUGGGCGCAAGCCUGACGGAGCAACGCCGCGUGAGUGAAGAAGGUCUUCGGAUCGUAAAGCUCUGUUGAGAGGGACGAGAGAUAUAAUCAGGAAAUGGGUUAUAGAGGACGGUACCUUUCGAGGAAGCCACGGCUAACUACGUG
rnacentral:rRNA from 1 species